rnacentral:rRNA from 1 species
AGGGCGUGUGGUGGAUGCCUUGACUGAAGAAGGCGAUGAAGGACGCGGCUUAGCUGCGAUACGCUUCGGGGAGCUGCCAAGCAAGCUUUGAUCCGGAGAUUUCCGAAUGGGGAAACCCUGUCGAGUACACCUCGACAACUCUCUAGUUAAACGCCAGAGAGAGCAGACCGUGGGAAGUGAAACAUCUCAGUACCACGAGGAAAAGAGACCAAUAGGUAUUCCCUUAGUAGCGGCGAGCGAAACGGGAAAAGCACAAACUCAGCCACAAUAUCAACGCGCGAUCUUUUUCGCGAUUUGAUAUUGGGGAUGGGGGUUAUAAGGCUACAGCGCUGGCAACAGGUAGAGUCACAAAUUGCUUAGUUAGUGGAACCUUCAGAUCGAUAGUGAACAAGUACCGUGAGGGAAAGGUGAAAAGAACCCCGGUGAGGGGAGUGAAAUAGAACUGAAACCACAUGUCUACAAGGAGUUGGAGAGGUCGUCAUUUAUUUGGCGUUGCCUCGACAGCGUGCCUAUUGAAGAAUGAGCCAACGAGUUGAUGCAUACGGCUUGGCUAAGGCCUUAUCGGCUGGAGCCGUAGCGAAAGCGAGUGUGAAUAGCGCGUUUGUCGUAUGUAUCAGACCCGAAGCCGGGUGAGCUACCCAUGGCCAGGUUGAAGUUCGUAGAAAUACGGAUGGAGGACCGAACCCGUAGAUUGUGCAACAUCUUGGGAUGAGUUGUGGGUUGGAGUGAAAAGCUUACCGAACUCGGUAAUAGCUGGUUUUCUCCGAAAGAGCUUUCGGGCUUGCGUCGUGUGUUUCCUCUGGGGGUAGAGCACUGGAAGAAGCGGACAGAUCGAAAGAUCGCUGCCUCUAUCAAACUCCGAAUACCAGAGUAAAGAGCACGGCAGUUAGGCGAUGGGGGCGAAGCUCCAUGCGCCAAAAGGGAAACAGCCCAGACCGCCGUCUAAGGUCCCUAAAUCUACGCUAAGUGCAACUAAGGAGGUGAAAUUUCAUAGACAGUCAGGAUGUUGGCUUAGAAGCAGCCACCAUUCAAAGAAAGCGUAACAGCUCACUGACUUAGAGAUUUUGCGCCACAAAUGAUCGGGGCUAAGCGUAGUACCGAAGAUGCGGAUGCUUCGUCAGAGACUUUGCAGGACAAGCUGUCCCACGCCGCUCGCAUUCGCGAGCUCCGCGGGACACACUUCGCCAAUUGUGCGGAGUGGCUUGCCACGCAAAGCCUCUGGCGAAGUGUGGUAGGAGAACGUUCCGCUCUGCGAUGAAGGCAAAGGGGUGACCCAUGCUGGAGCGUGCGGAAGUGAAAAUGUUGGCACGAGUAACCGCAAUGCAAGUGAGAUUCUUGCACGUCGAAAGAUCAAGGUUUCCUUCGCAAUGGAGAUCAACGAAGGGUUAGUCGGUCCUAAGCCGAUGGCAAACGCCGCAGGCGAUGGACACAGGGUUAAUAUUCCCUGACUUCUGUAUUGAGUGAUGGAGAGACGGAGAGCUGUAAUGCAGGCCCCUUAUUGGAUUGGGGUCCGUGCCGUGAUUGUGCGCUGUAGGUAAAUCCGCGGCGUAAGUGAGAGCGGAGCGGAGAAUUGGAGAUUCGUCAAAGAAAAUCUGCAUGAGCGCGCUUCCAAGAAAAUCUUCUAAACGUAUCAAUAGAGAAACCGUACCGCAAACCGACACAGGUGAUCAGGGCGAGUAGCCUAAGACGAACGAGUGAGAGGUCCCCAAGGAACUCGGCAAAAAAGCGGCCGUACGUUAGCAAUAAGGUCCGCCACUCGCAAGAGUGGCCGCAGUUAAAAUUUCCCAACCGACUGUUUAUCAAAAACACAGCUCCCUGCAAACUCGUAAGAGGAAGUAUAGGGGGUGAUGCCUGACCAAUGCCGGAAGGUCAAGUAUGGAGGGUACAUGCAUGUAUGUAUGUGCUGGACUAUAUAAGCCCCGGUCAAUGUCGGCGAUAACUAUAAUCGUCCUAAGGUACGACACAUUUGUACUAUUAUGUCAAGUGUGCCGUAGGACUAGGACGAUCGUAGAAUCGAAAUAAACAGCGAAAGUAAUACCAAAGCUGCCUCUCUGUGCAGUAAUGCACAAGUGGUCCUAUGAAACAUGGCUAUAUGCUGGAAACUCCUAUGGUACAAUUGCACCAUAGAUGAGCAAUCAGCAGGAAAGGCCAAGAAUUGAAGAUUGGAUCGUCGGCUUUGCCGAUGGCGAAGGAUGCUUCUCUGUAAGCAUUUUCCGCAACAAAACCACAAAGCUCGGUUGGCAAGUUUUUCCAGAGUUUGUCAUAACUCAAGGAAAACGAAGUCUACCAGCCCUCGAAAUCUAUCUGAAUUACUUUGGAUGCGGGAAGAUUUUCGUAAACAAUCGUUACGAUAAUCAUCACGAGCCUCUGUACCGGUAUUGCGUGCGAUCGCUCAAGGAUUUGCGGGAGACAAUAAUCCCGUUUUUCCAAGAGCAUCAACUUCGUACGGCAAAGCAGAAAGAUUUCGAACUAUUCGCGGAAAUCGUCGAAUCAAUGUUUCUCAACAAGCAUCGUUCGAUAACAGGCAUACGUUCAAUUGCUCGAAAGAUCGAGCGAAUGAAUCGCAAAACGCGAUCACAAUUCUUGGAAUCCUCAGAGACUACACGCCGUGCUCCUGCAAUUGCAGGAUGAAGAUAUAGUCCAAUGGCAGAAGGAACCUAGAGCGAAAUUCC